rnacentral:rRNA from 1 species
UACGUAGGGGGCAAGCGUUGUCCGGAUUUAUUGGGCGUAGAGAGCUCGUAGGUGGUUCGGUAAGUCGGAUGUGAAAUCUCCAGGCUCAACCUGGAGGGGUCAUUCGAUACUGCCGUGACUAGAGGUCGGUAGGGGAGUGUGGAAUUCCUGGUGGAGCGGUGAAAUGCGCAGAUAUCAGGAGGAACACCCGUAGCGAAGGCGGCACUCUGGGCCGAUACUGACACUGAGGAGCGAAAGCGUGGGGAGCGAACAGG